rnacentral:rRNA from 2 species
UAAACGACUCUCGGCAACGGAUAUCUCGGCUCUCGCAUCGAUGAAGAACGUAGCAAAAUGCGAUACCUGGUGUGAAUUGCAGAAUCCCGUGAACCAUCGAGUUUUUGAACGCAAGUUGCGCCCAAGGCCUUUGGGCUGAGGGCACGCCUGCCUGGGCGUCACGC